CAGUCACGGGAAUACGUAGGGUGCGAGCGUUAAUCGGAAUUACUGGGCGUAAAGCGUGCGCAGGCGGUUGCGUAAGACAGGUGUGAAAUCCCCGGGCUUAACCUGGGAACUGCGCUUGUGACUGCACAGCUAGAGUAUGGCAGAGGGGGGUGGAAUUCCACGUGUAGCAGUGAAAUGCGUAGAGAUGUGGAGGAACACCGAUGGCGAAGGCAGCCCCCUGGGCCAAUACUGACGCUCAUGCACGAAAGCGUGGGGAGCAAACAGGAUUAGAUACCCGGGUAGUCCCUGUCUCUUUACACAU
rnacentral:rRNA from 1 species